AUAUCAAUAAGCGGAGGAAAAGAAACCAACAGGGAUUGCCUCAGUAACGGCGAGUGAAGCGGCAAGAGCUCAAAUUUGAAAGCUGGCCCCUUCGGGGUCCGCAUUGUAAUUUGCAGAGGAUGCUUCGGGAGCGGCCCCCAUCUAAGUGCCCUGGAACGGGCCGUCAUAGAGGGUGAGAAUCCCGUCUGGGAUGGGGUGCCCGCGCCCGUGUGAAGCUCCUUCGACGAGUCGAGUUGUUUGGGAAUGCAGCUCUAAAUGGGUGGUAAAUUUCAUCUAAAGCUAAAUACUGGCCGGAGACCGAUAGCGCACAAGUAGAGUGAUCGAAAGAUGAAAAGCACUUUGAAAAGAGAGUUAAACAGCACGUGAAAUUGUUGAAAGGGAAGCGCUUGCGACCAGACUCGCUCGCGGGGUUCAGCCGGCCUUCGGGCCGGUGUACUUCCCCGCGGGCGGGCCAGCGUCGGUUUGGGCGGCCGGUCAAAGGCCCUCGGAAUGUAACGCCCCCCGGGGCGUCUUAUAGCCGAGGGUGCCAUGCGGCCAGCCCGGACCGAGGAACGCGCUUCGGCUCGGACGCUGGCAUAAUGGUCGUAAGCGAC
rnacentral:rRNA from 2 species